UACGUAGGGUGCAAGCGUUAAUCGGAAUUACUGGGCGUAAAGGGCGCGUAGGCGGCCUUCUAAGUCGAACGUGAAAUCCCCGGGCUCAACCCGGGAACUGCGUCCGAUACUGGAAGGCUUGAAUCCGGGAGGGGGAUGCGGAAUUCCAGGUGUAGCGGUGAAAUGCGUAGAUAUCUGGAGGAACACCGGUGGCGAAGGCGGCAUCCUGGACCGGCAUUGACGCUGAGGCGCGAAAGCCAGGGGAGCAAACGGG
rnacentral:rRNA from 1 species